CCUGUGUCAGUACCUUGGGGUGGCACCGAUGCAGGAGAGCCCGGUUGCUCCGGGCUUGGAGCUUCGGCGCCCAGGCUGCAGACUCCAGACCUGGGAGUUUCUGCCCGAGCAAAGGGAGAAGCGCGCCACUGCGGGCGCCUAGCUGCCUGCGCCCAGAGCUCGCAAGGACCUCAACCUGAGAAAGACACGGGAGCCUGGCACCUGGGUUGGACUUCUGACACAUUGGCGCAGCUGCUCCAGGUAUAGACAUGGGACAGAAAAACCCGGUCCAGAUGCAAAGGUCAAGUCCACACCGGCUCCAAAGCCGGGAUAGGGGGAUCAAUUACAAGGGUGCUGGGGCUGAGCAAAUUCGGCCACAGCGACCGAACCUGCGGGGUCUUUUGUGUCUGGGCGUGGAGGGUUGUUAGGACUAGAAAAAGGAGGAAGAAAGUUCCUAGCAGAGAGCGUGUCCCUGCCUCCCCGGAGACCUUCUUCGCAGCUCCUGCGCCGCACAGGAAGUCUUGCCAAACCCGGUGUUGGAGCGAGCGCUGUAUCCGCACCGGAGGAAAAUGCCCCGAAGUGCCCCAGCGGUCUGGAUCCCAGAAGAGAAGUCGUGAGGAUGCGCGCUGCAGGGCCAGGGGUGCACGGGGUAUCACGCCGCAGCUCGGUCCUCGGACAAUUCUGGGACCCGCGCGAGGUUUCCCAGACGGAGAACGGAUUCUGCUGAGAGGAGAUCGAAGCUGAGACAGCACACGAGGCCCAAGUGGCGCGCAGACAGCUCGGGGCGAGCACCCGGGAGCAAGCGGUUUCUGCGGGCGGGACUGGCGGCCGCCCUGGACCCGCAGGUUCCGGACCGGGACGAGAAGGUCAGUAGAAAGAGUCGGAUCUAUGGAGGUUGUAGCCACGGCCUCGGCCACAGCUUCGGGAAUCCCAAGCCAUACCAAUGGGCCUUGGAGCCCAAAGCACCAAAGCCACCAAAAGCAACGUUCGCCAACCUCUGUCACUCGGAGGUCGGGAGUCUCGGUGGCUGCCGCCGCGCCGUUACUCCCGGGUGACUUUGCGAAACGCACAGAUGGGGACGCCUCCGGCCCGGCACGCAGGGCCGGCUGAUGGAUCGUCUCAUUUCCCGACUUGAUGGGCCGGAACCUGGGGUGGCGGGGCUGGGGGAGGGGGCCGUGCGCGUCGGGACCCAGUCGGAUGGCCGCGUGGGCCGGGUGGGAGGCUCUGGCCGCCGGAUUUGGGUUGGGGGAUGAGGGUGCGACAAACAGAUCUUAGAGAAAAACCUCGAAUCCCUCCCCCCCCCGCCCCCUCUGUCUCCGUCCCCAACACGAAGUUAUCCCUUCCUCCUUUUUCUGUUUUGGGCACAGGCGCCGCGUCCCGGGUCUCCGGGGACAGCGUGACUGUGAGUGCGGUGGCGGCUCUCCGGGGCUCCGGGCCCCGCCUCCUUCCUUGGGUGUCCGCGUCCGCCUGCACCGCGCUGUUGGCAUCCUUUCCUGCGGGUGGCUGCAGGAGGGCAGGACUCGGGAAGGACCCUGUGGGGGGAGGGUGUGAAAGCCGCAGAGGGUGAGGGAAAGCUUUCAUUCCGGGUCCAUCUAAAGUCCAAUUCUGGCCUCGGACUGGGAAUUUUGGAGAGAGACAGAGGGGCAGGGGUGGAGAGUCAGGGUAGCGGCGAGGGGUGUUGUAGAAGGGAAAAUGCACACCGAGCAGCUUGCAUCCCGGCUGUCCUACCCUCCAGGGAGACCUAGAAAGACAGGAGCCUCGGGGAGAGACAAAGUCGGCGGUCCCUGUCCGCGCACCUCUUCCAAGGUUCAGACAGGCCAGGCGCGUGAGGAAGCGAGGAGCGAGGGGAGAACGCGAGGCUGCGCUUAGGCGAGAUGAGGACAACUGAAGGGGAGAUGGGUGGCAUCACUGGGGUUCCUGCUUCAGGGCCGUAACUGUGGGGUGUUUUCCUUUCAGCUUGCCAGAAUUUCCCCCAGGUCUCAGGAGCAGGAACUCCCGGCUGUGCUCCAGGUGUUCAUCCCAGGGCCUCAGGCCUGCCAUGAGGAAUCCCCGUUCUGGGCGUGCAUUUGGGUUCGGUAUCCUGCCCUACUCCCCUCCUGCUAGACAGUGGACCACUCUGAAGGCCCCUCUGGCCAGGAACCUGCCACAAGGGUCAGGGCAUCCAGCUAGUGCACUGCCCCAAUACUAAAGUGUGGUCUGUGGACCCUUAGCAUUUCCCCCCACCUGGCUGCUGCACAAGCUCCGGCCUCACCCACCGCACUGCAGCAGAACCUGCGUGUGAAAAGGUUACCUAGGGGACUUGUGCACCUCUGCAGCUGGAGAAGCCCUGGCCUAAUUUCCAGAGCCCAAGCUGACUCCUGCUGACUCCACACAGUGUGUCUCCCGCUUCAUCUUCAUCGUCUGUCCAGUGAGAGGUGUUUCUGAGGUCCCAGGGCAGCUCUGCAGCAACCCCUGAAACGACUCCACCCCAAGGAAAUGAAAAUCGCUAGUUAGUGGAGCCUGGCAGGAAUGCAGUUUUAAGUGUCCCCAAAUGAUUCUAAUAGCCAGGAAGAACUAGUAGAGAAUUAACUCCCUUUGCAGAUCAGCUGAGAUACGGCCUGGAGCCUACACAAUACUGUGAGUACAAUGCUUCAGACCCCUGGGCUCUAUAGCCAGAUUCACUCUGGCCCCAACAGAUGUGGCCUUGAGCCAGCUAAUGAGCCUUGCUGUGCCUCCGUUUCCUUACCUGUAAAAUGGAGUUGAUAAUAAUGCUCUACCACAAAGAGCGGGGUUCGGGUUUAGAACCAAACAUUUAGAAUCAAUUUCAAUAAAUCUUAGUUUAUAAUGCCAAA